GCCGGUCUAGUAUAGUGGUUAGUAUAUUUCUUUGUGGCAGAAACGACCCAGGUUCGAUUCCUGGGGCCGGCA
rfam:Candida tenuis ATCC 10573 unplaced genomic scaffold CANTEscaffold_00004, whole genome shotgun sequence.